UACGGGGGGGGCAAGCGUUGUUCGGAAUUACUGGGCGUAAAGGGCUCGUAGGCGGCCAACUAAGUCAGACGUGAAAUCCCUCGGCUUAACCGGGGAACUGCGUCUGAUACUGGAUGGCUUGAGUUUGGGAGAGGGAUGCGGAAUUCCAGGUGUAGCGGUGAAAUGCGUAGAUAUCAGGAGGAACACCAAUGGCGAAGGCAGCUCGCUGGGACGUGACUGACGCUGGAGACGCGAAAGCGUGGGGAGCAAACAGG
rnacentral:rRNA from 1 species